CACUAUACAGCUGGAUGAACUUUUUGCAUUGUGCGAUUCAAUGGAUUGGAAUAUUAUCUGUGGCUCUAUAAAAGGAGACUGAGCUAGUCGCUGAAAUCAUCACCUACUCACAAUUCUUCUUAAUUGUUUUGGAAGUGGAGCUUUGAGUGACUGACGUAAGAUGAGGAGGAACACGCUUCUUGCACUCUUCAUUUGGGCAAUGGCGGCUGCAUUAUUCAUCUUUGCUGUGGCCAUGCCAGCGGAGGGCAGGAGAGAUGGUAUCCACCCGCAAGUCUGGGUGCCGAUCCUGCUAUUUCACGAGGAAUGGCUUCUGGAUCCAGUGUGGCAAAACCUGCUGCCGCUCUGACGCUGAGAACUGCUGCUUGGGAAGCCACUAGUAGCUUCGUCAGGCUCUGAAUAACUGGCCUUCAAAUCCUUGUGCAUCUACUAAAUAAAGUCGAUGAACUAUCCCCCUGCAUAUCCUGAUAUUGGAAUGCGGGCUCUCCUCAUUUGAACACUAAGUUCUUUACUGUCCUAAGAGUAAUAUGCAGUAGUUUCUGACUGCUCAAUUAUGCCUAGCAAGAGAAUAAAUCAAAAUAUGUAUUUUUUU